rnacentral:rRNA from 1 species
GACGAACGCUGGCGGCGUGCCUAAUACAUGCAAGUCGAACGAGAGCGCCCGGUGCUUGCACUGGUCAAUCUAGUGGCGAACGGGUGAGUAACACGUGGGUAACCUGCCCAUCAGAGGGGGAUAACAUCCGGAAACGGAUGCUAAAACCGCAUAGGUCUUCGAGCCGCAUGGCUUGAAGAGGAAAAGAGGCGCAAGCUUCUGCUGAUGGGUGGACCCGCGGUGCAUUAGCUAGUUGGUGAGGUAACGGCUCACCAAGGCCGUGAUGCAUAGCCGACCUGAGAGGGUGAUCGGCCACAUUGGGACUGAGACACGGCCCAAACUCCUACGGGAGGCAGCAGUAGGGAAUCUUCCGCAAUGGACGCAAGUCUGACGGAGCAACGCCGCGUGAGUGAAGAAGGUUUUCGGAUCGUAAAACUCUGUUGUUAGAGAAGAACAAGUGCUAGAGUAACUGUUAGCGCCUUGACGGUAUCUAACCAGAAAGCCACGGCUAACUACGUG